ensembl:lncRNA
UGUCAUAUUUUCUAAUGUUAAGAUUGCAAACCUGUCUUUUUUCAUAAGUGUUUCCAUUUUCUUUUGUUUUAAUACUAUUCUGGAGAAAGUGAGCAUGUGUUUUUGUUGUUAACAGGCAUGGUUUAUUUGUGAAGUGUCCUGAGACUGGUGAGGGAGUGAGUGGACAGGGAGGACAUCAAACUCAAACCAAUACAUUCUUCAUUAGCCAAGAGAAAAGAGUGGGGAAAAAAUGAGUACAUUACAGUUUUUCCAAUAUAUUUUUUAAAUGUCAUAUUGUCAAUGAAACAACCUAAUUUCUGUAGUUUAUUUUUGUGAUGCAAGUUAAAAAUUAAAUGCAUAAGUUGUAUACAUUAUUCUUUUUUUGUGUGUAAUUUAUUUGUAAAUAAGCCUGAGUACUUUCUGUACAUUUUGUAUUUUUGUUUUCCAUAUUCACAUGUGCAAAUAAAAGAGAAGUAAUUAUGUACAUUGUUAUUUUUUUUAAUGCAGCUUAUAAUUAUUUUCACAAAAUGUAAUUUUUUUUUUUGUCCUGUAAAUAUUUUUUUACACAUUAAAACAAAUAGUUAAAUACAUUACUGAAAGUACUUUUUACAACCAUUUACAACAUAGCUUAGGUUUAACAUCAGAAAAACAUCAGUUUUGAGCCCGGCCCUGCCUCCAUGUGUUCUGGGGUCUUCAGGAGGUGAAUCUCUUGGUGAAUGGUCAGCACAUCCUCAGAGACUCGAAGGACAAUGCGGUGGACAGUGGAACGAGGCACAUGUCACACUCUGUAUGAUGUACCGCUGGCAGACAGAAGAGAAACACCAGGGUCUGGAUUGUGGCACCCAUCACUGUUGCCGUUCACUUCUCAGAAGAUCCUGCAGCACUGUCAGGGCCUCCCUGCUCAGCCCAAAACCAUUAAAAACCUGUCCAGCACUGGCAGAUUCAGCUUUAUCCUGCAGAGGUCUGGUCUGAUUUAAGGAAAGAAGGAAAAGAGAAACUGUUUAGAGCUAUGACAACGUAAUUAGCACAAGAAAUAUUGAGGUACUUUAGUAAACUACUUUUGGUAACUACUAAAACCACAUUGGGGAAAAACUAUUAGUCAUAUUUAAAACCUUCGCUAAGGGAAUAGUUCACCCAAAAAUGAAAAUUCCAAACCUGGAGCAACUUGAGGGUGAGUAAAUGACUACAGUCUAUGGAGAUAAAGCAGGCUCAUUUUGGGCCCAGUUCUCCUCUGCCCUAAAUAAACAAACAUGGUGUGAUUUAUGAUUCUAGUCU